AUUGAACGCUGGCGGAAUGCUUUACACAUGCAAGUCGAACGGCAGCACGGGGGCAGCCCUGGUGGCGAGUGGCGAACGGGUGAGUAAUACAUCGGAACGUGCCCGGUCGUGGGAGAUAACGUAGCGAAAGUUACGCUAAUACCGCAUACGAUCUGAGGAUGAAAGCGGGGGACCUUCGGGCCUCGCGCGAUCGGAGCGGCCGAUGUCAGAUUAGGUAGUUGGUGGGGUAAAGGCCUACCAAGCCGACGAUCUGUAGCUGGUCUGAGAGGACGACCAGCCACACUGGGACUGAGACACGGCCCAGACUCCUACGGGAGGCAGCAGUGGGGAAUUUUGGACAAUGGGCGCAAGCCUGAUCCAGCCAUUCCGCGUGCAGGACGAAGGCCUUCGGGUUGUAAACUGCUUUUGUACGGAACGAAAGGGCUCUGGCUAAUACCUGGGGCUCAUGACGGUACCGUAAGAAUAAGCACCGGCUAACUACGUG
rnacentral:rRNA from 1 species